GACGAACGCUGGCGGCGUGCUUAACACAUGCAAGUCGAACGGAAAGGCCCCUUUGGGGGUACUCGAGUGGCGAACGGGUGAGUAACACGUGAGUAACCUGCCCUUGACUUCGGGAUAACUUCAGGAAACUGGGGCUAAUACCGGAUAGGAAUCCUUGCUGCAUGGGGGGGGUUGGAAAGCUUCUGCGGUUUUGGAUGGACUCGCGGCGUAUCAGCUUGUUGGUGGGGUAGUGGCUUACCAAGGCUUUGAGGGGUAGCCGGCCUGAGGGGGCGACCGGCCACACUGGGACUGAGAGACGGCCCAGACGCCUACGAGAGGCAGAAGUGGGGAAUAUUGCACAAUGGGCGGCAGCCUGAUGCAGAAACGCCGCGUGCGGGAUGACGGCCUUCGGGUUGUAAACCGCUUUCAGCAGGGGCGAAGCUUGUGGUGACGGUACCUGCAGAAGAAGCACCGGCUAACUACGUG
rnacentral:rRNA from 1 species